GGCUGGAUUGGUGGACAGUAGGAACCGAGGCACUGUGUCAAGAGUACACAGGUAAGUGCAGAACACCAUGUACGUCAUGCUACACAGCAGCCUGAUUGGGAGAGAGAAAACGCUGGGCAAGCAGCAGAAACACAGAGAGCCUUGGACUUGAGGAAAAAUUCAGAAAGACAAGCGAGAACAGAGUCCUCGUACGAGCUCAGGGAGAGAGCCCUGAAGGUAGGAGAGAAUGAAAAGGGGCACAGAACAGGGGAAAUGAGCCCACAGAUCUGCUUUGGACAGAGCCAGGAAGAUCAGGAAUUUAAAAAUCAGAGAUGAAAGCGACCUAAUCCUCUCUGAACCCGUCCGAUCCACUUCCAGUGUAACAGUAUGAAGGUGUAUGUUCAGCCACUAAAAUGGUGUGGCAGGAGAACAUUUUAAUAACACAGACAGAAGCUGGAACUGGGGUCCGGGGCGACACACCUGCAAUCCCAGUACUCAGGAGGCUGAGGCACGAGGGCUGAAAGUUCAAGGCCAAGCUGGACUACAAAGCAAGACCCUGUCUCAACCUCUGCUACUCCCCCUACCCAGAAAAGGAGGAGCUGAGAAAUUCAGGGAGGAGUCCACACUCAUGCUGCAAACCCACCAACAGAUCUGUUUCAUCUGCACAGGAAACAAUUCAGAUGGGGCUCAGCUUCCCAGCUUGCGUUGGUCCCAACACCCAGCCCCCUUCACUCACUUUAAUUCAUUCGUCUUCGAAGCAAAAGAGUGCUCACCUCCUGGUAUAGGCAGCCUUUUUAAAAAACAAGUGCAUGCAUGUGUAGGAAGACUAAUUCCAACACUGCUUACCACCAGGCACUUCAAGUAAAAAUUAGAAUUUUCAUAUGGGGUUGUGUCUGUGUUUCCUAAUGUUUCUAUAAAAACAUAUAACUGAAGUAUAAUCACAAAAAAAAUUCAUGACAAAAAGUGGCAUGUGUAUGUGGUGGGAGGAAUAAAAACACUACAAAAAGAGGCACACGUUGAUUGCUAUAGCACAUUUGAAAAGAAGCAAGGACAGCUGGACCCGGGCUCCAGCACCACAGCCCAGGCACAGGUGACACACAUGGGGUCCGCCCGCUCCCUGUCUCUCACCGG